GAGGCAGACAGGAUCAAGUGACUUGCCAAGAGUCACAUAAGUGUUUUGAGGCCAGAUUUUAGCUAAGGAUUAAUUCUUAUACUGGCAAUCUAUUCCUUCCACCAUCUACCAGUGUUGCAAAGUUACUAAUCUAAUCUCUUCCUUGCCAAAUUCAAAGACCACUUCUAAAUCUUCAUAUUGGCUUCUCUGCAGCUUUUGAAGAUAAUUUACCCUCUCCUUAAUUCUCUUGUUUUUGGGAUACCAUUCUCUCCUGUUCCCCUACUGUUCCUUUACUUGGAUCCUCAUUUAAAUAAUACCAAUUAAUCAAAUGUAACAGCUGAUACCUAGGAUUUGAUACUGGACCCUCAUUUCUCCUAUAGUAGCUCACCUAGUGACCUCAAUUUUAAUUACCAUCUUCAAGCUGAGGAUUGUCAAAUCUACUUAUCCUGCCCAAAGUCUGUUAACCUCCCAGUGUUGGAUUACUGCUUUUCAGAUAACUAAACUAGAGAUCUGGUAAGCAUCAAAACUUGCCAUAUCCAAAGCAGAGCUCAUAAUUCCCCCCCUCUCCCCGAAACAAAAAAUUAUUCAUGCUUUCUCUGUAGAAUACAAUGCAUCUUCCCAUUUCUUCAGGUUCACUACAUUUCAUCCUGAAUGCAUAUCUAAUCUGUUGCCAAGGCCUACCAAUUUCACCUUUAAAACAUUUCUUAAAUACUUAUUACACUUAUUACUAUGGAGUAGGCCUUUGUCACCUCAUACUUGGAUUAUUUUAAUGGCUUGCUAAUGGAUCUUCCUGCAAGUCACUUCCAUGUCAUACCCCUUACUCAUUAAAAGUCAGUAGCUUCCUAUUACUUCCAAGAUCCAUGUAAAAUACCAUUUGGCCUUUUAAAGCCCUUCAUAAUGUAGAUUCUCCUAUUUUUCCCGCACUCCUCUUAAUUCUAGGCCUAGUGUUUAAGAUGUGACAACUGGCCUAGCUGAUCUAUAAACGAGAUAACUCCAUCUGAAAUUUUCAUCUCCAAUGCCCAAAAUCUCAAAUGUUCCCUGACUUUACCCCAGCUAAAAUUCUGUCUUACUGUAAGCCUUCUCUAACUCCUCUUAAAUCCAUUGCCUUUCCUCUGCUAAUUAUAUCCUAUUUUUCCUGUAUAUAGUUUGCUUUGUAUGUAUUUGUUUGCAUUUUGACUUCCCCAUUAGAUUGGAAUCUCCUUGAGGACAGAAUCUUUUCCCCUUUAUUUUUAAUCUCCAGCACUUCAUACAGCUCUUGCUACAUAGUAAGUGGUUAUGGUUUAUUGAUUUAUUAUAAAAGGAAAUGUGCUUAGUUUGGCAUGACUGUUCAAAAUGAACCCAUGUUGGCUUAUAAUGACCAUUCCCCUUUUUUUAAUGUUUAUACACCAAUCUCUCCAGAUGACAGAAUCUCAACAAAAGGGACCUCAAAGACUUCCAGACUAGGAAUCCCUUCUACAAUAACCUUUACAAGUAAUCAAUGUCUGCUUGAUUUAAGACCUCAUGAAGGAUAACAUUACUCCAAAAUAGUUCAUUCUCUUGGCAUUAGCAAUACUAGUUUGAUAUGCUGUUGACUCUAUAUUUCAGGAAAGAUUUGCCAACUACCUGCUAGUAACUAAUUCAAAGGUGAUCAUGUUUGGAAUACAUUGUGGCUUGACUUUGGAUGAUUAGGCUUAAGUUAAAACUCCUAUUUUCUGAUUUGAUUGGAUGGGAAUAUGUGACCUAGAAGCUUACAAUCAUCCCAGAAUGAAAAUUUCAUCAAUAAUACUUUUAUGGGUGAAGACCUCAUUUUUGGUAGAUGAAUGCCAAGAUUGAAUGAGAAAGAGUAUUUGGGCACCAAUAUAAAGGAUAGAGGGGAGGUAUCUGUGAAGAGGCUAAAUAAGAGACAACGGUGACCAUACUGGGAAUGUAAAAUAGCCUUCAGAUGACAGAAAGAUUGCAGAGAUAGGACUUGACAAUUUUUUGGAGACAUAAGUUAGAGAAGAAAACAAUUGAACAUAAUUCAUACUUUUUGAGCCUGGAUGUCUGGGAAGAUACUAACAAAGAAAUUAGAGGAACUAAUUUAGGCAGGCAAAUCAUAAGAUUAUGCUUAGAAUGUAGAGUUAGAAGGGAUCAUAGAUAACUUCUAGUCAUCUCCAUUCCUAUCCCCCAUCAGUUUACAAAUGAGAAAACGGGUCCAGAGAUUAAGUUGGACACAACCGAAAAAAAUGACCAGCAAAAUAUGCUAAUGAUAGCUUUAUCAGAAAGGAAUUUGAUGCUUUCAUUUCUAAAUUACAGACUUAGAAUUGUAAAAGGCUAUUAGGGCAUUAAAUUUGCGAGUCAAAGGAUUUGGAUAUGAAUGCUAGCUUUGCUAUUUUACUGAGUAAAUUUGUUCUGAGCUUUUGGUUUCCUCAUCUGCAAAAUAGGGGUGGGGUGCAUAGGGCUGGAAUAGAUCAUCUUUAACACUUCUAAUUAUCAAUCAUAUAAGUUGAUAAUGCACUGGUUCUGUUGCUUUAUCUGAUUCAAGAAUCCCCUCUACAGUAUCCCCAUACAGGGUUGAACCUAAAACUAUGUUGGGAAAAUAAUCGAGAGGAAUCCUUUGUCCCAUGGCAUCCCCACCCUUGGAGUGCAAUUUCAAAAAUGUUUCUUAUAAGGGCGGAUAAAUGUGGAGUAGAACAACCACAUCAGUGUCUAGAGGCAUGAUACUCUCUAUAAACCCCAAGAAUCUAAGUGUUGUACAGUAAAUUGGCAUCAUUCCCUUCCUGAAUUUCUCAAAAAACAAUUGCUCAAUGUAAUGCUCUAUUGGCUGCUUUCCCUCUGCACAAACCAUGAAUAUUUUAAUUGGCUAUGCAUUUCAAAUCUUAUUUGAUGCUUGGUCCUCCAUGGAAACCAUUUAGGUGUGCUUGUGUUUGUCACAGCCCUUAAUAAAACACUUUUGAGUAGGGAUAUUUAAUAUGUGGUAGUUAUAUUUCUAAUAUUUGGCUGAGUAGUUUGCAACCCAAGUCUCUUUAAAAUUCAAUGAAAAAAAAAUCAUAGAAUCUAUUUCAAUAGAAAUAUUUAACAUUUAUAAUGCAUUGUCCUAACACUCCUGAGGUAGAAAGUAUAGAAAAGGACUCAAAUGAAAUACUUUGCCCUUCAACACAGUAUUAUAUUGGAAAAAGGUCUAGCUUUUAGUACAUACAGUAGUGGAAAUGGAGUAAAGACCCAAAUUCAAAUCUGGCCUCAGAUACUUGCUGUGUGAUAACUGAACAAAUCACCCAACCUAUCAAAUGUGAUCCCAUUGAUGUGGCUAUUCCUGUCUAGUGAUACAAAUUACAAUCCUUCAUAGCUGGACAUCUUUUGCAACAAAAUUCUGAGUUCUUCAAAGAGUAUUUAUCUACCUUUUUUGAUGACAAUAGGGUACAUACAUCCCACUUAGUUUUUUUUUUUCUCUUCCAGUUUCUCCAGUUUUCCAAUUCUCAUAUAUAACCAUAUGCCUCUCCAUUGUCUUUUGAAUAAUGUACAGCUUUAUUUUUUUAAGAAAUUAUAGUUUUCUGUGUUUAAGAUACAGUGUAAAUUGAUGCUAAAUUGGAGUAUAAGGAAGAAGAGUAUUGGCUGAAUUGCCUGUGGGAAAUGACAGAUUUUGUUAAAGGUCCCUUGCUUCUCCUUGAAAUGGCCCAUAUUAAAAUCCUAAUAGUAGGGUUUCAUAUCCUCCCCUCCCCACAAAACCAUUUGGCAUACUAAUGGAUAAGUUCCAUAGGUUGUCCAUUGAGAAGAGGCUCCUAAUUGCUUUGAUAAAUGCAUGAGACCUCUUAAAGGAAUCGCUUUGCUCUACCAAAUAAAAUUUUGUUUGUUUUUCAGGGGUGGAAUUUCAAGAGCACUGAUUCUGAAACCAGAGGACCUAUCUUCAAAUCUUGCCUUUGUUACUACCUGUGUGACCUUGGGAAAGUCAUAGACUUCCUGGGCCUCAGUUCACUUAUGGAUAAAAUGAGAGGAUGAAUUAGGUGACCCCAAAAUUAUAAUUCUAAUUGUGCCUAUGAUUUAAUCUAUUCCCAAGGCUCAUUUGGCCUUAUGGUCAACAAGCAAUAAGCACCAGGAGAUCUUAAAUUUCUACACCAGUGGCUUGAGUGAUAUGUAGUCGACUGUUCAAUAUCAUUUUCAAAAGCCUGCCUGUUCCCUAUUAAUACCCUCAUCAAUACAUUCAAGUCUUAUAAAUUAUUCUUAUAAAACUUAUACAGAUAAAACAUUAAGUAUAUAAUUUGAUAACUAUUGAUAUUACCAUUUUUCAGCUAUUAAUGAGAUCUGAAAUAUUUUACAUGCCUUUGAAUUCAGUUACCUUGUGAAUUGAUCUUUGAAAGUCCUCAUACAUGAUCAGUCUUCACUAUGAAUUGCCAGUUAACUACUUUUUUUCCUUCUUGUGAUCUCUUAGCUACUUUCUAACCACAUUUGGAACAUGAUGUUAAAGUCUCUAAGAGGGUGCUUCCUCUUUCCUGAAAAGGGUUUGUUUGCAAAUCUUUUGCAUACCUUUACAUCUUUUCUGUCAUUUGUUGCCUAACCUUAGUGCAUUCUUAAAUGCACUUAAAUUUCAGCAAAAAACUUUUAAGUUAUUGAUAAUUUUUUUCUCUUAACUUACCUUCAUUUUGUAGCAUCUCUCCAGAGCUAUCAUGUAUAACCAAAAUUUAAAAAAAAAAAAAAAGUGGGGUAAGGGGAACAAACAUUAAGUAGCUACUAUGUGAUAGAUACUGUGAUGAGAAAAAAUAAUCAGUUCAAAUAAAACCAACAAAUCCCAUCUCAGUCCAGAACAUAGUGGUCCAUUUUCUCAGUCUUCACCUCUAUAAAGAAAGCACUAAGAUACAUUUUCUCAUAUCUUUUCCAAAGACAAUUUAGGUCAUAUUUACACGGUAUUUUCAUUUGAUGAGAGUUCUAUUUAUAUUGUACUGAAACUAUCCUAUCCCUAUUUCUUUUUACUUUAUCAGUUUAUCUAAGUCUUCUCAUGUUUCUCUGAAGGCAGCUGAGUGGUACUGUGAAUGCAGCAAUAGACAUGGAAACCCAGAUAAAACUGACCUCAAUCACUAGUUGUGACCCUGGAUGUGCCAAUUUAACUGCUGCCUGCUUUAGUUUCCUCGUAUGUAAAAUAAGUAUAAUAGUAUUUACCUGCCAGGAUUAAAAGGAGUUAAUAUUCAUAAAGUGUUUUGCAAAUCUUAAAGCAUUAUAAUCUUUAUAUUACAAUAAUAUACUGUUCACAUGACAUUUUGGUUAGCCAGUCCCCAAUAAAUGAAUAUUUUUUUCAAUUA